rnacentral:rRNA from 1 species
GGCCGUCCGAGUUGUAACCUGGAGGAGCGCUUUGAGCGGAAGCCCGUGUACAAGUCUCCUGGAACGGAGCGUCAUAGAGGGUGAGAAUCCCGUCCAUGACACGGACGCCCGGAAAAAGGUUAGAUGCGCCCCCGAAUUUGUCGCGUUGUUUGGGAAUGCAGCGCAAAAUGGGUGGUAAAUUCCAUCUAAAGCUAAAUAUUGGCGAGAGACCGAUAGCGAACAAGUACCGUGAGGGAAAGAUGAAAAAGCACUUUGGAAAGAGAGUUAAACAGUACGUGAAAUUGUUGAAAGGGAAACGCUUGAAGUCAGUCGCGUCGCACGGAACUCAGCCUGGCCUCGGCCUGGUGUACUUUCCGUGCGACGGGUCAACAUCAAUUUCGGGCGGCGGAUAAGGUCGAGGGGAAUGUAGCGUCGCUUCGGCGGCGUGUUAUAGCCCCUUGUCGUAUACGCCGUGCGGGAUUGAGGACCGCAGCGCGCCCUUGUGGCCGGGGUUCGCCCACGUCACGCGCUUAGGAUGUUGGCAUAAUGGCUUUAAGCGACCCGUCUUGAAACACGGACCAAGGAGUCUAACAUGCUUGCGAGUGUUCGGGUGGAAAACCCUUGCGCGGAAUGAAAGUGAAAGUUGGGAGCCUCCGCGAGGGGGUGCACCGACGCCCGGCCCUGAAGUUCUCUGACGGUGCUGCGGUAGAGCAGGUGUGUUGGGACCCGAAAGAUGGUGAACUAUGCCUGAAUAGGGCGAAGCCAGAGGAAACUCUGGUGGAGGCUCGUAGCGAUUCUGACGUGCAAAUCGAUCGUCAAAUUUGGGUAUAGGGGCGAAAGACUAAUCGAACCAUCUAGUAGCUGGUUCCUG